GCAGGGAGGGCCGUUAAAGUUCGUGAGAAACUGAGAGAAAAGAUUCAGGAAAAGUAGAAAGGGAACGCCAUGAACAAGCGAUAGCCAGAGAGCGGACAUAAAUCGGAACCUGCCUCAGAUGGCGGGCUAAACCCGACGUAAGGGUUUGUUGGGCUGAGCAACUACCGCGGAGCACCCCGCUGUCCCAGGCCCGGCCUGCCCCGAGAGUGGGAGGGUCCGCGGGGAAAGGUCCCCUGAACCCGGGCCAGGCAGCGACUCCUGCGGAGAGGUCUGAUGUUAAGCUUGCCGUGUCGGCGGGCUAAGAGUUCGACCCGACGAGGGCUAAGCGAGCGGCAACGAUCCCCUUAGGAACAUUCAAAGAAG
rnacentral:rRNA from 1 species